rfam:Oryza sativa Japonica Group DNA, chromosome 9, cultivar: Nipponbare, complete sequence.
UUUAAGUGCAGCAGUGGAUUUCUGUAUCCAACAUUUGACCGUCCGUCUUAUUUAAAAAUUUUUAUGAUUAAUAUAUUUGUUGUUGUUACUAGAUGAUAAAACAUGAAUAGUAUUUUAUACGUGACUUUUUAUUUAAUUUAUUUAUAAAAAUUUUUAAAUAAGAUGGACGAUCAAACGUUGGACACAGAAAUCCAGAACUGCACUUAAA